rnacentral:misc_RNA from 1 species
UCUCAUAAAUUGGUUACUUCUUUUUCCAUAAUAAUUAGACGCGGUCUAAGAGGUUCUUGGAGAUUCAGAAGUUAAGAGAAAUCAAGAAAGAGUAUGACUUGAAAACGGCUAUAGAACUCCUCAAGCAAACAGCUAGCUUAAAGUUUGUCGAAACCGCUGAAGCUCAUUUCCGGCUCAAUAUUGACCCAAAAUACAACGAUCAGCAGCUUAGGGCAACUGUUAACUUGCCCAAGGGAACAGGUCAAACUGUUAAAGUGGCUGUCCUUACCCAAGGUGAAAAGUUCGAUGAAGCGAAAAAUGCAGGAGCUGAUAUAGUGGGUGGGGAGGAUUUGAUAGAACAGAUAAAGGGAGGAUUUAUGGAGUUUGACAAAUUGAUUGCAACACCAGAUAUGAUGCCUAAGGUUGCUAGCUUAGGUAGGGUCCUUGGUCCUAGAGGACUCAUGCCAAACCCAAAAGCUGGUACUGUCACUACAAAUAUACCUCAGGCUAUCGAAGAAUUCAAAAAGGGUAAAGUAGAAUACCGAGCAGAUAAAACUGG